ACGAAGGGUGCAAGCGUUACUCGGAAUUACUGGGCGUAAAGCGUGCGUAGGUGGUGAGUUAAGUCUGUCGUGAAAGCCCCGGGCUCAACCUGGGAAUGGCGAUGGAUACUGGCUCGCUAGAGUGCGGUAGAGGAGAGUGGAAUUCCCGGUGUAGCAGUGAAAUGCGUAGAGAUCGGGAGGAACAUCAGUUGCGAAGGCGGGCUACUGGGCCGAUACUGACGCUGAUGCGCGAAAGCCAGGGGAGCGAACGGGA
rnacentral:rRNA from 1 species